UACGGGGGGGGCAAGCGUUGUUCGGAAUUACUGGGCGUAAAGGGCUCGUAGGCGGCCAACUAAGUCCGACGUGAAAUCCCCAGGCUUAACCUGGGAACUGCGUCGGAUACUGGAUGGCUUGAAUCCGGGAGAGGGAUGCGGAAUUCCAGGUGUAGCGGUGAAAUGCGUAGAUAUCUGGAGGAACACCGGUGGCGAAGGCGGCAUCCUGGACCGGCAUUGAUGCUGAGGAGCGAAAGCCAGGGGAGCAAACGGG
rnacentral:rRNA from 1 species